UUGACCUCGAAUCAGGUAGGAAUACCCUGCGUGAACUUAGAGUCAUAUCAAUAAGACGGAGGAAAAGAAACCAACCGGGAUUACCUCAGUAACGGCGAGGAAAACCGGCAAUAGGGGAAGUCACUAGUCGUAUACC
rnacentral:rRNA from 1 species